GUCGACCCUCUCCAUUCUCACUUUCCCCGUGUUCUCACCCUAACAUCCAUAUCUCCCUUUACCCCACUGCCAUAACCCCCCUCAUCCCUUUACCUCACUGCCGAUCACCCUCCUCCCUUUACCACACCGCCGGUCACCUCUCCUUCUUCCUUACCCACCAACCACCGUCACCCCUCUUAACACCUCCCCUUAAAACCGCCACCCUCCUCCCUUUACCUCACCGCCGACCACCUCCUCGCCGCCGCACACCCGCCGCCGGUCACCUCACCUCGUUAACCCUCUCCCUCACCUCUAGCCGCCGCUCACUUCGCCACCUUCCCCUCCUCCACAUCCGCCGUACACCGACGACCACCCCCUCCCCAUUCUUCGCCGGUAAACGCCUCCUGCCGCUCACCAUCCCCCACACCCUUCCCACCUACCCGCACCGACCACCUAACCCAGCUUUAUCACCGCCGCCGACCACCUACAUCACCCCCUCCGCCGUAAACCCUUCCUCACCACUCGCCGGCCACCCCACUUCCUCCACUACCGCCGACCACCUCCUAAACCCACACUUACAGCCGGAUUCAAUUUGGGGAUCAAACUUUAAUCGAACAAUUUUCUUUGAUCUUCUUGCUCGCGCGAUUCUCAGAAUGCCAGGUGCAGGAACUUCGAGUCGGGCCAACAAGAAACAAGGCUGAGACACUCGCUCAGGAAAGGGCCCAGUGGGACACAGGCGGGUGAUGAGGUGUUGGGUGAUGCGGAGUAGAGCGAGGAUGCAGCGAGGAUGACAACUUAUAUCUUUUAUUUAUUUUUUUAUCUUUAUGCUGUUUUUAAUCCUCGUCUAUUGGUUUGUACUUAAAUACAUUAAACAGGUUGGAUGGGUUUUGGGGUUGGUUGAAACACUUGUGGAUAGUUGCUGGUAUUUGUAGCCGCUUUCGUUCGUGUGUCCGAGGUUAGGAGUUGUUUGCUGAGCGCGUAUCGAAUUGGAGGGCUUAUGUGGAAACGACUGGCACUUUGACAGUCUCACAUACUCAGCUAAGUCGUUUCCCUUUUUGUUGUUAUACAUUAUUUUUAUUUAUUUCGUUUGUAGUUUUUAUUUUUAGGUAGUUGUAGAGUCGUAUUUUCGUUCUUGCAUUAGGGACAAUGCAAUCUCUAAGUGUGGGGAUGGGAUACAUGUAAAUAAUCGAGUCUUAAUUAUUGAAAAAUACAAAAAAAUUAAAAAAUUGAAAAAAUCCAAAAAAAUUGAAAAAUCAGAAAAUGUCUUUCGAAUAAAAAAGAAGUUUGCAUUUUUAAACGGAAAAUGAUAGAAAUGAUAAAUGUUUGCUCGGGGUCGAAUAAUAAUAAUAUGAGAUUAUAAUAAAUCGAGCUUGCGUCUAGUUAGGGAUGUGUGGAUAGGCCCGGGUUUGGUUUUAAGUCCCUUUGAGCUAAUAUACCUUAAUUGUCGGUCUGCCAGUGGGUUUUCGCCUGGGAAAUAUGGGAAAUUAAAACCGCCAAUAAUAGUAUAAGGGGCACCGUUAUAAGUUAAAACUGUCAGGGUUUGUGGCCAUGAAAAAAAAAGAAUAAAAGUGAGCUAGAAACUAAAUGAAAGUAACACAGGUCUAUGUAAUCUGAGUUGGGGAUAGCGACUCUACAGCCGGAAUGCCUCUGGGAUGUGUGAAAUCGAAUUGCCGAUUAAAAGUACCGAAACCUAAGUAAUCUGUGGUUGGGGAUAGCGACUCUACAGCCGGAAUACCUCUUGGUUAGGGAAAGCAUCGUCUAGACUCACGAGAAAGAAAAAGAAAAAAAAAAAGAAAAAAAAGAAG
rnacentral:lncRNA from 1 species